rnacentral:rRNA from 1 species
GACGUAGGGCGCGAGCGUUGUCCGGAUUUAUUGGGCGUAAAGAGCUCGUAGGCGGCUUGUUGCGUCGACCGUGAAAACCCGGGGCUCAACUUCGGGCUUGCGGUCGAUACGGGCGGGCUAGAGUUCGGUAGGGGAGACUGGAAUUCCUGGUGUAGCGGUGAAAUGCGCAGAUAUCAGGAGGAACACCGGCGGCGAAGGCGGGUCUCUGGGCCGAUACUGACGCUGAGGAGCGAAAGCGUGGGGAGCGAACAGG